GGAAUAUUGCACAAUGGAGGAAACUCUGAUGCAGCGAUGCCGCGUGAGGGAAGAAGGUUUUCGGAUUGUAAACCUCUGUCUUAAGGGACGAUAAUGACGGUACCUUAGGAGGAAGCUCCGGCUAACUACGUGCCAACAGCCGCGGUAAUACGUAGGGAGCGAGCGUUGUCCGGAAUUACUGGGUGUAAAGGGAGUGUAGGCGGGAUGGUAAGUUAGGUGUGAAAUGCGGAGGCUCAACCUCCGAGCUGCACUUAAAACUGCUGUUCUUGAGUGAAGUAGAGGUUGGCGGAAUUCCCAGUGUAGCGGUGAAAUGCGUAGAUAUUGGGAGGAACAUCAGUGGCGAAGGCGGCCAACUGGGCUUUUACUGACGCUGAGGCUCGAAAGCGUGGGGAGCAAACA
rnacentral:rRNA from 1 species